UCACUGCUGAGGAGUUCCACAAUAGGACGAAACGGCCGUCCAAUGC
rnacentral:hammerhead_ribozyme from 1 species